UCCUGGAAAAAAAGCAGCUGGGACACAGACCGGUCAGACAGGUGUGACAGGGUCAGGUGUCAUUGUCCUCCUUUGGAACCAACCCGGAAAGGUUGAAAACGGACGAUUUCUUCUCAGGAUCCGUUUCAAACGCCUUAAAUACGGAUUUUUACCAGAAGUACAACCAUGGCAGCCAAAUAUGACGGCUUGUCCCAAUGCAAGCUGGCCCUGGUGUUUGCUAUACUCAUGGACCUGUUGGGUAUCUCAUCCCUGCUAGUGGGCGUCUUUGUGCAACUUGAGAUCAAAGGCCAAGACUUUGGGGACCUGCUGGUAUACUCCGGAGCUUUGUUGAUACUCUUCUCCAUGGCGGGCUGGGUCAUUUGGUACAGCGGCAACAUUGAGGGCCUGACCUCCAAAAAGGAGCUUGGUUGGGGAAUGAGCAGCGCCGUGGACAGUUUAGCCCGGUCCGUGAGCCGGAGGAUGCGGCUGCCCAGAACACGCAGCAGCCCUUCAUAGGAAGUGGACCUCUGGAAGAUGCUGUAACAGCUGACAUGAAGGAGAAAAACUUAAGGAGAAAACAGGUUACCCGGCCCAAAAGAAUGUUGGCCAGGUUACAGCUUUUUUCUGCCUUUUUUUUUCACCAACUGAAGAAAGACAAAGGACACUGGUGCGAUUUGUAUGCCUCUCUUAAGUUAAACAUUAAAUAUUCAAAUGAUUAUUCAAGCAA